rnacentral:rRNA from 1 species
CGGCCGCGUCGACCGCGGUGCAUUAGCUAGUUGGUAAGGUAACGGCUUACCAAGGCAAUGAUGCAUAGCCGAGUUGAGAGACUGAUCGGCCACAUUGGGACUGAGACACGGCCCAAACUCCUACGGGAGGCAGCAGUAGGGAAUCUUCCACAAUGGACGCAAGUCUGAUGGAGCAACGCCGCGUGAGUGAAGAAGGUUUUCGGAUCGUAAAGCUCUGUUGUUGGUGAAGAAGGAUAGAGGUAGUAACUGGCCUUUAUUUGACGGUAAUCAACCAGAAAGUCACGGCUAACUACGUGCCAGCAGCCGCGGUAAUACGUAGGUGGCAAGCGUUGUCCGGAUUUAUUGGGCGUAAAGCGAGCGCAGGCGGAAGAAUAAGUCUGAUGUGAAAGCCCUCGGCUUAACC